rnacentral:rRNA from 1 species
AGUGAACGCUGGCGGUAGGCCUAACACAUGCAAGUCGAACGGCAGCACAGUAAGAGCUUGCUCUUACGGGUGGCGAGUGGCGGACGGGUGAGGAAUACAUCGGAAUCUACUUUUUCGUGGGGGAUAACGUAGGGAAACUUACGCUAAUACCGCAUACGACCUACGGGUGAAAGCAGGGGAUCUUCGGACCUUGCGCGAUUGAAUGAGCCGAUGUCGGAUUAGCUAGUUGGCGGGGUAAAGGCCCACCAAGGCGACGAUCCGUAGCUGGUCUGAGAGGAUGAUCCGACACCCUGGCACUGAGACACGGCCCAGACUCCUACGGUAGGCCGCGGCGGGGACUAUUGGGCAAUGGGCGCAAGCCUGAUCCAGCCAUACCGCGUGGGUGAAGAAGGCCCUCGGGUUGUAAAGCCAUUUUGUUGGGAAAGAAGAGCAGCAGGUUAAUACCCCGCUGUUCUGACGGUACCCAAAGAAUAAGCACCGGCUAACUUCGUG